rnacentral:rRNA from 1 species
AAGGGCACCACAAGAACGCGUGGAGCAUGUGGCUUAAUUUGACUCAACGCGGGAAAUCUUACCGGGUCCGGACACACUGAGGAUUGACAGAAAUUAUCGUGUACAGCUCUCAUACAUUCUGUGUAUGAAGCUUUCACGUGUCAAAUAUGCUAGUUCUUUCAUGAUUAUGUGAUAGGUGGUGCAUGGCCAUUCUUAGUUCGUGGAGUGAUCUGUCUGCUUAAUUGCGUUUCACAAAGAGCUUAAACUUUAAACUGUGACAGUGGGUUAGCAGUUGGACCCCUUCUGCUAAGACUUCGGUCUCUGCAUUAGCGCGCGUACUCUGCUAUUUACAAUCCUAUCUUCACAUUAAGUCGCUCUGAAAGCAAAGAACGUGACCACAACCUCUUGUUGCCUGUGUUUUCUAAGCUGUGCUUUUCUUUCGACUUCGGUCUGUUUGAAACAUCAGUCUAGAAUUGUCUCUUUAAGUAGAGGUCGAUAAAACAGGCUUUGUAUUAAUAAACUCGAGGGACCGCUGCUUCUUUCUUAAACCAGAGGAAGGAUGUGGCAAUAACAGGUCUGUGAUGCCCUUAGAUGUUCCGGGCUGCACACGUGCUACAAUGAUUGUUGCACUGUGCAUCUCAAUAUACACAUCGCUUGCAUGAGCAACUGGAUGGACUUUUAGUCUAUCUUGCUUUGUCUCUAUGCGCGAUAAACCCUGCAUCGAAAGCAAAAGUGGGUAAACAAUUAGAAGUAACAAAAAUCUUACAUGCACACUACAAGUUUGGUGCCAACUCCCGUGAUCUCGUUGCUUUAUGUAACAGUCCGAGUGUGUUUGGUGGAAUUCCUGUCAAAGAAUUCAUUCUUCCAAACGUGCAAUUGUCAAUUCAAGGUGGGGACAGACCAUUGCAGAAAUUGUUGGUCUCGGGCUUAACUAGGAAUGCCUUGUACGGGUUUGGUUCAACAAACCACCCGGAAUACGUCCCUGCCCUUUGUACACACCGCCCGUCGCUCUUACCGAUGGACUUCGCUGUGAGUUUGAAGGACAGGCUAACUUUACUUGCUACGGAAAUUCAAACGAACAGUGUGGUCUAAAGGAAAGAGAAGUCGUAACAAGGCAUCGG